CCUACCUCACUGCGUGGCUACGUGACGAGGCUGCGUCAUUGCGUCGUAGCCAUAGCAACCGCAACAGUUUCCUGACAUGGCUCACGUCAGGAAAAAGUCCAUUAAAACUUCUUGUAUUUUAUGAUUAUUUUCGCCUUCAUUUCGACAGAGACUGGUGAAUAUGGUCGCUAAAGGAGACAAGGAGAGAUCAAUGGAGCAGGAGGGGGAGGAGGAAAUGAAGAUGGUUCUUAACUGUCCUCCAAUCCACCCACUGCCUGAAGAGAUAAAAAAAAAAAAGAUCUGCUCUGGCAGCUUGUCCAUGGCAUCUACUUGUCUUCUGCCCAGUGCAUGCUGGGACAUUAAUUAAGGUAAUUAGCAACUCAUCACUAUCGGUGUGUUUCUUUCAACAGGGACAGCUACUGUCGACCCCAUCACCCAAUCAGUGAAUGUUGGCAGUGAUUGUUCCUGCAAACCACAGCUAUGUUGAAACUUUAUGUUCUAUUAUGUUACAGCUUUCUGCUUCUUUAUGUUUAUUUCAAUUUCUUUAUAUAUUUUUAUGUUUUGGUUAGGUUUGGGCAUAAAAACCCUUUGGUUAAAGUUG
rnacentral:lncRNA from 1 species